ACUCCUUCUAAAGCUAAAUAUCACCACGAGACCGAUAGCGAACAAGUACCGUGAGGGAAAGUUGAAAAGCACUCUGAAUAGAGAGUCAAAAAGUACGUGAAACUGCCUAGGGCUCAAACCCGUUGAACUCGAUUAUCCGGGCGGGGACAUUCACCUGCGGUUGGCCAGCGAUGGCACGCCGCAGGGCACUUGUCCCCGUCGAUCCUAGAGGACAUUGCGAUCCAUUACGAAACAGCUUCGCGUUGGCAACGACGCAAGGUCGCCCGACAGUUGCCCCUUGGUGCUGGUUGCUUGUCCCACAGUAGCGACGCUCAGUUCUGAAGGCCUGUGCCGCGAGGUGGGACUUACUGCACGUGGUGUUUGCAGUCGGGCGCGUGAUGGAUUUACCCGUACGCCGUCGGGCCCCCCGGGGUCUGGCGGACCGUCGAUCGGCAAUGAUAAAAUCGAGGUACCUUCGGGACCCGUCUUGAAACACGGACCAAGAAGUCUAUCUUGCGCGCGAGCCAAUGGUCGUCUCCGGAACACCAAAGGCGCAAAAAACAUAACUUGAGUUGUGCGGGAUUACGGGCGCGGCUCUUUGCAGCGUCCCUCCAUCCCCGGGUGUUGUAACCGGCAUGCGGUGGUCUCCACCGUGCCACAACAUACCGUGAGUGUGCAGGAUGUGACCCGAAAGAUGGUGAACUAUGCCUGAUCAGGUUGAAGUCAGGGGAAACCCUGAUGGAGGACCGAAGCAGUUCUGACGU
rnacentral:rRNA from 1 species